AAGAGAACUUGCCCUCCGGGGUAGAUCUCCCACCCUCUGUUUACAUACUUUGUUGCUUUGGCAGGCCCGUCUCCGGACCGCCGGCUUCGGCUGGCCCGUGCCUGCCAGAGGAUUCAAAACUCUGAUAAUCAUGUCGUCUGAGUACUAUUAUAAAUAGUUA
rnacentral:misc_RNA from 1 species